rnacentral:rRNA from 1 species
UACGUAGGGGGCAAGCGUUGUCCGGAUUUAUUGGGCGUAAAGAGCGUGUAGGCGGCUUCACAGGUCCGCUGUGAAAACUCGAGGCUCAACCUCGAGCUGUCGGUGGAAACCGUGUGGCUAGAGUCCGGAAGAGGAGAGUGGAAUUCCCGGUAUAGCGGUGAAAUGCGCAGAUAUCAGGAGGAACACCAAUUGCGAAGGCAGCUCGCUGGGACGUUACUGACGCUGAGACGCGAAAGCGUGGGGAGCAAACAGG